rnacentral:other from 1 species
AUUUCUCUGAGAUGUUUGCAAGCGGGCCAGUCCCCUGAGCCGAUACUUCAUACCACAAGAAUGUGGCGCUCCGCGGUUGGUGAGCAUGCUCGGUUCGUCCGAGAAGCCUUAAAACUGUGACGACACAUUCACCUUGAACCAAAGGUUCAAGGGUUACAGCCUGCGGCGGCAUCUCGGAGAUUCC